UACAGAGGUCCCAAGCGUUGUUCGGAUUCACUGGGCGUAAAGGGUGCGUAGGCGGUCGGGUAAGUCUGGCGUGAAAUCUCCAAGCCUAACUUGGAAACUGCGUUGGAUACUAUCCGGCUCGAGGAAUGGAGGGGAGACUGGAAUACUUGGUGUAGCAGUGAAAUGCGUAGAUAUCAAGUGGAACACCAGUGGCGAAGGCGAGUCUCUGGACAUUUCCUGACGCUGAGGCACGAAAGCUAGGGGAGCAAACGGG
rnacentral:rRNA from 1 species